GAUAAACGCUGGCGGCGUGCUUCAGGCAUGCAAGUCGAACGGACCUUCGGGUCAGUGGCGGACGGGUGAGUAACACGUAAGCAACCUGCCCAGAAGUGGGGAACAACUUGCCGAAAGGCGAGCUAAUACCGCAUGUGAUGGCAUUUCUACGGGAGUGUCAUUAAAGGCUUCGGUCGCUUCUGGAGGGGCUUGCGCUCGAUUAGCUUGUUGGUGGGGUAACGGCCUACCAAGGCAACGAUCGAUAGCUGGUCUGAGAGGACGGUCAGCCACACGGGGACUGAGAUACGGCCCCGACUCCUACGGGAGGCAGCGGCUAGGAAUCUUGGGAAUGGGCGAAAGCCUGACCCAGCAACGCCGCGUGGGCGAUGAAGGCCUUCGGGUCGUAAAGCCCUUUUGUGGAGGAAGAUGAUGACGGUACCCCACGAAUAAGCCACGGCUAACUACGUG
rnacentral:rRNA from 1 species